rnacentral:rRNA from 1 species
UACAGAGGGUGCAAGCGUUGUUCGGAAUUAUUGGGCGUAAAGGGCGCGUAGGCGGUGCGGUAAGUCUGUAGUGAAAUCUCCUGGCUCAACUGGGAGCUUGCAGGCGAAACUGCCGUGCUGGAGUGUGGGAGAGGUGCGUGGAAUUCCUGGUGUAGCGGUGAAAUGCGUAGAUAUCAGGAGGAACACCUGUGGCGAAAGCGGCUCACUGGACCAUAACUGACGCUGAUGCACGAAAGCUAGGGGAGCAAACAGG